AAAAGAUUACAAAAUUUAUUUUGCAGAGUUUUACAAGGUGCACUUAUAAAACUUAUACACAGUAUGAUUUCCAACAGAAGAAAAAACUCAUUUCCUUUCAUUCAUAAAUAAGCAGAUAACCAGAAGAUCAUAUCUCAGAGCGCUGUACAAUUCAUGGUUUGGGGGGGAUUAGGGAAGCAAAAUUUAUCUGCACAUUCUGAUUUUCUUCGCAAAAAAUCAUAUCUUCCUUUUGACAUUUUAGCUCUUUAUUAAUCACACAAAAUCCUGCCUUUCCCCCAUCAUAUGGGAUUCGCGACUGAUAAGUGUGCGUCUACAGGCAGGGUAUGAAUUAUGCAGCACGCAUAACAUUCUCUAUAAGAACACUACUUCUACAACUCAAGGCCAACACUUGAUGGGGCGAGAACGCCUCAACUGAAGCACUAAAAAGUCUUUGAAAAAGUCCAUCACCCAAUAGCAAAUGAUCAAUAUUCGUUACUUCCACCACAUGCUAAUCUGUCCAUACAAAAGUGGACGAAUCAAGAAAAGCGAGAGAUUAUACUGAAAGGAGGACCGCCAGUGACUGGCCCGGUCAUCACCACCAUUUUGUUACUGGGUCCCUAUGACAACACUUCCAACCCUUUGCUCUAGCUCCGUUCCUGUGGGUUCAAAUCAACAUAAAAUACUAGAAAAGUGUCAGUGUGGACAAUGACGUGGAAGUUGAUGAAGAUCCCACACACUAUCUAUAUAGCAAUUCAAUAACACCUGCUAGAACAUAAAAAUAGUGAUAAGCAAGAAAGGCUGAGAAACUGUCCCUGUGAUACGCUCUUUUCCCUAGAAAAGAGUGCCACUCUUGCCCGUGGGGUUGACCCUUUUGUUUUUACUAAAGGUUGCCGAGCCAAACAAUUCAUGGGCAGGAGUGUCGCUGCUUCUAGAAGACAACUCCCUAAUAAAAGGGCACUAAAGUGAUAUUCUCCACAGGUACGGUUAUCUGAAAUAUAUUUUAGAUACUUAUUUCAGAUGACCAUUUAAUUCCCAGGAACUUCAAGUACUAUUGUCCCGUAAAGGAGUGAAUAGUGACCCUUUUAUUCGUUGCAGCAAAGUGACUUCAACUGUUCUAUAGGGGUAAAAAAUGGCAGGUGACAAGGUCAGUGUUUCUGCAACUGUCACAAGGUCAUAUUUCCAUAGGGGGCAAACAGGGUUGGGCUGGGGUUCCUUGGGCCGACCAAAGAAAAAAUUAUUCUCGUGGCUCAACCCCCAUAUCAUCAAUAAAGUCCAAAAGACAAUUAACUGGCUCCAAAAGGCAGCACCAAAUGUUUUUUUUCCUAGGCCCACUAUGGUACAAGAGCCUGGGCCAACUGGAGGAUCCUCUAGUACGGGGCCAGUCCGAUGCUGGGGACAGUAAUUUUACCUUGUCCUCCCCAGCCUUCCACUGUAGUAUGGGGACAGUAUAAAUCUACUUAGACAUACAUGGCAAUGUGGCCUAGCCCAAGUGGUAGAUGACCCAAUCACAAGUGAUAAUACUCAUCAGCAGAAGGCCUGGACACGUGCUGUAUGCAAAAGAAGAAACAUUAAAAGGUUUUCAUGUUCCUUCCAGAAAACAUUUCCUGUGUGUGUAGUCAUCUACAUUAGGGACAGUAACAAAGGCUCAACUAACCUAAGAAAAAUCAAUCCCAUUCCAAUUUUCAGCUGCUCACAAAUGUAAAUGAAUCAGAAACCGAUGCAUGGGUUUACACUUUUUAUAAUCAGUCCAAAAUUCUGCACAAAUCAAUUAUUUGAUACAUCUUUAUUGAGGUCAGACCUC